rnacentral:rRNA from 1 species
UGCAGUCGAGCGGGGUUUUCGGACCUAGCGGCGGACGGGUGAGUAAUGCGUAGGAAGCUACCCGAUAGAGGGGGAUACCAGUUGGAAACGACUGUUAAUACCGCAUAAUGUCUACGGACCAAAGUGUGGGACCUUCGGGCCACAUGCUAUCGGAUGCGCCUACGUGGGAUUAGCUAGUUGGUGGGGUAAUGGCUCACCAAGGCGACGAUCCCUAGCUGGUUUGAGAGGAUGAUCAGCCACACUGGAACUGAGACACGGUCCAGACUCCUACGGGAGGCAGCAGUGGGGAAUAUUGGACAAUGGGCGCAAGCCUGAUCCAGCCAUGCCGCGUGUGUGAAGAAGGCCUUCGGGUUGUAAAGCACUUUCAGCGAGGAGGAAGGGAGUUGUGUUAAUAGUACAGCUUCUUGACGUUACUCGCAGAAGAAGCACCGGCUAACUCUGUGCCAGCAGCCGCGGUAAUACAGAGGGUGCAAGCGUUAAUCGGAAUUACUGGGCGUAAAGCGCACGUAGGCGGUUUCUUAAGUCAGAUGUGAAAGCCCCGGGCUCAACCUGGGAAUUGCAUUUGAAACUGGAAAACUAGAGUGUGUGAGAGGGGGGUAGAAUUCCAAGUGUAGCGGUGAAAUGCGUAGAGAUUUGGAGGAAUACCAGUGGCGAAGGCGGCCCCCUGGCACA